AUAAAUCAAGAACUUGAAGUUUACAUGGAAGGCAACAACAAUUAUAUGGGUAAUACCAGCUAAAAAAAAGUUCUUCAUACCUUGGUUUCUCCAGAAUCAUUUAGGAAAUGCAAGAUUUCUUCAUAGAAAAAUGUACUCCCUAGUCACAGGAAAGCAAGAGAAACAUCAAGAAACAUUUCAUCCAUAUGGAGCAACCAUCCUACCUGUACAGAAACACAGCCCUGCAAUUUAAGUUGGAGCUGGAUCAUGUCCACAUCAGCAGAGGAGCAAAGUUUUUGUAGCUCUGCAGUUUUAUCUUUUAUUUCAUCAGUAGCAACAUCAAUUGGUUUUAAAUUAAUCUGCUGUUCACAGUUUAUAGGAAUCCUCUUCUUCACGUAUGGAAAUGAGUUUGAAGCUAUUAAAGUGUUGAGAUUGAAUUACUAUCUUUAAAAAAAUCAUUUGUUCAAACAAAUUAAAGAAAAACAUCCAUUGUAAUUAAUUAUUUCCAAGCUUUCUGUGGAAGAUGCCAAGGGCUUCUUGUAUCUAUGUAUCUAUGUAUUCAAGUAUCUACAGCUUCAGGAUUGAGGAGAAAUUCUCUUUAGGAGACAUCUCUGAGCAAUCAUGAAUGACAUAUGGGAAAAUGAUGGCUUAUAAUAUGGACAUGUUUGUACAAACUUGUGACUCAGCAGGGGAACCACAAAUGAUUAAAAUGUCAAUUACAUGUU